AGUCUCAGUUCAGAUUGCAGGCUGCAACUCGCCUGCAUGAAGAUGGAAUUGCUAGUAAUCGCGGAUCAGAAUGCCGCGGUGAAUACGUUCCCGGGCCUUGUACACACCGCCCGUCACACCAUGAGAGUUGGCAAUACCCAACGUACGUGAUCUAACCCGCAAGGGAGGAAGCGUCCUAAGGUAGGGUCAGCGAUUGGGGUGAAGUCGUAACAAGGUAUC
rnacentral:rRNA from 1 species